GAUGAACGCUAGCUACAGGCUUAACACAUGCAAGUCGAGGGACCAGCGCACGGGUGCGUAACACGUAUCCAACCUGCCCUUUACUCUGGGAUAGCCUUUCGAAAGAAAGAUCAAUACCCGAUAUACAGGAUGGGGAUGCGUUCCAUUAGGUUGUUGGUGAGGUAACGGCUCACGAAGCCUUCGAUGGAUAGGGGUUCUGAGAGGAAGGUCCCCAACAUUGUAGCUGAGGCACAGUCCAAACUGCUACGGGAGGCAGCAGUGAGGAAUGUUGGUCAAUGGGCGCUAGCCUGAACCAGCCAAGUAGCGUGAAGGAUGAAGGAUUAUGGGUCGUAAACUUCUUUUAUAUAAGAAUAUGUAGUAUAUGAAUAAGGAUCGGCUAACUCCGUGCCAGCAGCCGCGGUAAUUC
rnacentral:rRNA from 1 species